rnacentral:rRNA from 1 species
GUCGGCCCCUAAGGCGAGGCGGAAACGCGUAGUCGAUGGGAAACAGAUUAAUAUUUCUGUACUUCUAUAUAUUGCGAAGGAGGGACGGAGUAGGCUAAACAAGCACGGCGUUGGUAGUCCGUGUGAAAGUAUGUAGGUGGUUGACUUAGGUAAAUCCGGGUCUUCAUUAACACUGAGAUACGAGACGAGACUCUACGGAGUUGAAGUUGUUGAUGCCAUGCUUCCAGGAAAAGCUUCUAAGCU